rnacentral:tmRNA from 1 species
GGGGCUGAUAUGGUUUCGACGGGAAUAGUUGAGCAUGGAUGGCAAGUCGAUUGUUCACGUUACGAACGCAAAAAAAUAAAUGCAACUAAAUUAAAAAAUGCUGUAGCUAACUUCUUUGGUGGACGCCAAGCUGUUGCUUACGCUCUUUAAUAAUUCGAGCCAGCGCUUCUUUUUAAUCUAUGCCUAGUGAUUAUUUAGAGGUUCAUUUUUAUAGGCUAUAUCUAUCUUUUGUCUAGAAGAUAGAAAGAAAUUUGAGACUGGUAUGUUAUUUUGGUCGUUAAUUACUUGAAUAACAUAUGAGAAUAAUUAGUUAACUAAACUUGUAGAGGUUUAUGUAGCUCUAUUUUCGGACAGGAGUUCAAUUCUCCUCAGCUCCACCA